rnacentral:lncRNA from 1 species
UCCGACUCGUGGGUGAAUUCAAGUCGGAAUCAAGUCACACGUAGUUCUAAGUAAUAAAAACUUUUUUUCGGUGAACCGGUUCGUUUAAUAUUGUGAUUGCACCCACGGGUUGAGUUACCCAUAUCUAUGUCCGCGUUCCGACUCGAUCAAGUCAACCUAGUUCCUGGGUAAAGAAAUUUUGAGUCAAGUCAACACGGUCCCCCACCUGGAUGAGACUCUAACACGAUGAC